AGCAACAAAUGCCCUGCUUCCAGGAAAAGCCUCUAAGCAUCAGGUAACAUCAAAUCGUACCCCAAACCGACACAGGUGGUCAGGUAGAGAAUACCAAGGCGCUUGAGAGAACUCGGGUGAAGGAACUAGGCAAAAUGGUGCCGUAACUUCGGGAGAAGGCACGCUGACACGUAGGUGAAGUGAUUUACUCACGGAGCUGAAGUCAGUCGAAGAUACCAGCUGGCUGCAACUGUUUAUUAAAAACACAGCACUGUGCAAACACGAAAGUGGACGUAUACGGUGUGACGCCUGCCCGGUGCCGGAAGGUUAAUUGAUGGGGUCAGCGCAAGCGAAGCUCCUGAUCGAAGCCCCGGUAAACGGCGGCCGUAACUAUAACGGUCCUAAGGUAGCGAAAUUCCUUGUCGGGUAAGUUCCGACCUGCACGAAUGGCGUAAUGAUGGCCAGGCUGUCUCCACCCGAGACUCAGUGAAAUUGAACUCGCUGUGAAGAUGCAGUGUACCCGCGGCAAGACGGAAAGACCCCGUGAACCUUUACUAUAGCUUGACACUGAACAUUGAGCCUUGAUGUGUAGGAUAGGUGGGAGGCUUUGAAGCGUGGACGCCAGUCUGCGUGGAGCCGACCUUGAAAUACCACCCUUUAAUGUUUGAUGUUCUAACGUGGACCCGUAAUCCGGGUUGCGGACAGUGUCUGGUGGGUAGUUUGACUGGGGCGGUCUCCUCCUAAAGAGUAACGGAGGAGCACGAAGGUUGGCUAAUCCUGGUCGGACAUCAGGAGGUUAGUGCAAUGGCAUAAGCCAGCUUGACUGCGAGCGUGACGGCGCGAGCAGGUGCGAAAGCAGGUCAUAGUGAUCCGGUGGUUCUGAAUGGAAGGGCCAUCGCUCAACGGAUAAAAGGUACUCCGGGGAUAACAGGCUGAUACCGCCCAAGAGUUCAUAUCGACGGCGGUGUUUGGCACCUCGAUGUCGGCUCAUCACAUCCUGGGGCUGAAGUAGGUCCCAAGGGUAUGGCUGUUCGCCAUUUAAAGUGGUACGCGAGCUGGGUUUAGAACGUCGUGAGACAGUUCGGUCCCUAUCUGCCGUGGGCGCUGGAAGACUGAGGGGGGCUGCUCCUAGUACGAGAGGACCGGAGUGGACGCAUCACUGGUGUUCGGGUUGUCAUGCCAAUGGCACUGCCCGGUAGCUAAAUGCGGAAAAGAUAAGUGCUGAAAGCAUCUAAGCACGAAACUUGCCCCGAGAUGAGUCUUCCCUGAGACUUUGAGUCUCCUGAAGGAACGUUAAAGACGAUGACGUUGAUAGGCCGGGUGUGUAAGCGCAGCGAUGCGUUGAGCUAACCGGUACUAAUGAACCGUGAGG
rnacentral:rRNA from 1 species